rnacentral:precursor_RNA from 1 species
UGUAAUUGGAAUGAGUACACUUAUUCACUGCGUCCAUAUAAAGUAAAAAACUGUAAACUAGUGUGCUUUUCCACCAGAGAUGU